rnacentral:rRNA from 1 species
CGCGCAGGCGGUCUUUCAAGUCAGUGGUGAAAGCCCGGAGCUCAACUCCGGAAUUGCCAUUGAAACUGUCAGACUUGAGGAUGAGAGAGGUGAGUGGAAUUCCCAGUGUAGAGGUGAAAUUCGUAGAUAUUGGGAAGAACACCGGUGGCGAAGGUGGCUCACUGGCUCAUAUCUGACGCUCAGGCGCGACAGCGUGGGGAUCAAACA